CAGCCACAGGCGGCCACAUCACGCCCGGGGCCCGGGAGCGCUAGUAGGAACCAGCAGCUGGAGGGGGCUGUUGUUUCUCUGUAAGGCUCGGGGGAGGCAGGGGCUCAUCCAGUUUUCCAAGGGCCGCCGCCGUGCGAGGUGCUUCAUCACAUCUAACACAAUACCGAUUUUCCUCCAGUUAAAACGAAACGAGAAGCUUUACCAAUGAGCCAGAGGCCUAGGGCUGGAUGACUCAAAGAUAGAAGCUGAAACAUGUCUAUCUUCAUUGCAGUGAGUUGAAAGAAACAGUCUGUGGCAUGAAUGACAGGUGCCCCCAGAGGCUGGCGGGGCACAGCGACUGCCCACAAACAAUGAGAAAUCAUUGAGGAUACGCAAGCCAAGUAAAACAAUGGAAAGACUAUUUCAAAGAGCAGUACAAUGUGUAAAAUGUAGCUGGUGAGAUCUCAGUACAAAAGAAAGACACCAUUCUUAGACAAGGAAGUAAACAUCUCAAAGGAAGCUUUAAAAACUGGUGCUGGAAAAUGACAACGCAACUGCGGAGCUGCUGUGAACAGAAGAGGGACAUGUGACAAAGGCAAUGCAGAUGCUGUUCAUUAAUAUUCACAAACAAAGAGCAAGUACAGAGUGAAUAGAAGAAAGCAAUAAUAGCCCUGAUCCAUACAACAUGAAAUUAGGGGACCAAACAAACUAUAGAGGAAUUAACUUUUUGAGAGCUUGGAGAAGUAUUCACUAGGACACUUCAGAGGCAAAUAAAAAGAUGUGCAAUGGCAGUGAUAGAGGAAUAGGCUGGAUUUAGACUUGGAUGAAGUGUACAUCUGCAACUCCACUCCUACCCCUUGGUGACAGUGUCUCCCUUAACAGCUGUGAAAAUACACCAGUAUGAGGCAACCAUUGCACAUCUGUCUGUCUUUGCCAUUCAGUUUCUCUGUCUUCCAUUCAGGAAUUGCAAAUAUGCACAUUGCUUUCAUUUUGCCGCUAUUUAGGGUAUAGCUGAACAGGUACUUUCUCCCAUCCAAGUGACCAGUAAGUGGCUUUAGUUAGGGAAGGAAGAGGAUAAACUAGGUUUUCCAGAAUGACAUGAGGAGUCUCCCCAAGUUUGACUUCAAAUUUGAGAAUUCUGAUAUCCGACAACGCACUAUGAGAAAACUUAGAAUGCGUACGACCCAGCAGCAGGACAAAGAAAUGGUGAAGGGUGGGGAUGUGUGGUCACCUGAGGCUUUUCAGUUUCUCUUGAUAGAGACACCACUGAAAAUUUCCAAGCCUUAGGGACACCUAAUACAAUCACCUGAAUUCCAUCUUCAUGGCCUUGAUGACUUCUACAGGGAUCCUAAAUUUAGAGGUUCAGAGCACCCGCACAGUUCAUACAUUUCAUAGUGUUUCCUUGAUUAUCACAGCCAUCUUCAAGCCCUGAUUCUGAGCCAGCUUUACCUCCCACCCCACCUAACCAAACACAGUCUGCUCCCCGCAUACCCACUUCCAGAUUUGCCUCUCUACUGACUUUUGCAACUUACAAGAGUUGAUCUGGGUUUUAAUGGAAUGCACAUCAGACCUGUGGCUCCUGCUGACUGACUUUAGAAGGAAGCAACGGUGGGAAUAAAAUAAGACUUAAAGUAUGUUGCCUGUGGGUAUGUUUUCCAUCUUAUAAAUUGUGUGGAAAUUCUGUGAUCUGUGUCACGCAAGCAGGGGGAACAGUUGAGAUCAGGGGUAGGCAACAUUUUACCAUUCAUGGGCCAAAGUAGGUGGGCCACUGCUGCUGCUUCCCUUGAUGACAAAUCCCUCAGCCACCACUGUCACCUUUGAUUCCCUCAUUGCCAAAUUGCCACCAUCACCCUGGCUUCCCAGGCUGGCUAAAAUAGCUUUGAGGUCCCAAUCCAGCCUACAGUCCAUAGGUUGCCAACCCCUGAUCAUACAAGCCUUCUGCCCUUAGUAUCUCUAACUCCAUAUUGUCCGUGGAAAGAAAACUGGGUUCAUUUAAGAUGACUCUAAUCAAAUUUUAAAAAACAAACAAACCUCCAUAGUACCUUAAGUUCUGGGAAAUCUGUACCUAAGGCAUUUUCAAAUAAUUCUUUUUCAUUAUCAAGAACUAUUUCAUCUUUUCCCAGAAAUUCUACCUUUUAUUUUUAAACCAACAUACUUGCUUUAAAAAUAUUAGAGUACAACACACUUCCACCCUUAGAUCAACAGCAAGUCAGUCAUGUACAAUACAUUAAACAUUUCUAUUAUUUUUAAUAAUUACUGUUAUAUUUUUACAGUGUAUCCCCUGCACAGAUUAAUAUAUACUUAAAUCUCUUCCUCUCUUUCUCAUCUACCUACCUACCUCAAGCCACCUUUUUCCUUCCUUAGUGUCAUAUUUAUUGUAUAUACACUUUUCUAAAGGCUUUAGAAACUGGAAGUUAUGAUGUCCUGCAUUUACAUACCUCUACGUUUCAUUAUUUUCUUAAAAUUCACAGAGUUAAUGGCAUAGGCAUUACUGAUAUAUAAUUGAUAGCCUAAGAAUCAGAACUUGCGAAGCAAAGUAGCCAAAGUAAAGGUCUCAAAUUGAUUUACAUUACUUUCAAAAGACACAAAGGAGACAUUUCCAAGCAGAAGAUACAAAAACACCUAUUUUACAUUAACUGUCAACUUCAAGUGGUCUAACAAAUGCACUAAAAUUAGCCAAGGGUUGUCUUUCAUUUUUUUGCUUUACCAGAAUUCAAAGACACCAGAUAUUUACCAUUAGAGGUGGAUCCAAGGUGGGGAGAGGGGGGAAGAGUGCAGUGGUGCAACUGCACGCUCCUUUGAUUCCUACUCUAUCCAAAUUUUAAAACCAACUGCCUGGGAGGAGCAAUAGCAUUUCUAUUCGGGCAGUGCUGAGGGAGCCAUUGACUUCAUGGCUCACUGUAAUCUACUUGAUUCCUGGUAAUUUCUCUUUACUUCGCAGGUGUUAAUGACUUUCUUUUUUAACUGUCUUGAUGGUCCAUUAAUCAAGCUAUCCUUUCUUUUGCAAAGCUCUUGUCUGUUAACCAUUCCUGGUAGCAUCUCUCUUCUACUUCACGACCCUAAAGAUUAUUUUUAGUUCUAAUUUAAAACAUUAACUCAGGUGUGGCAAUAUCAACUCAGGUGAAUAUUAAUUCAGAUUUGGAUAUGACUAACAGUGAAAUGUUGGGUGCACUGUCAAGAUGCUCAAGAAAGUUAGAUUUUAUUUUAUGAAUCUCAAUAAGAGAUGUAUGUAUA